GAUAUGAUGGCUUAGAGUUACCUAUAUGAUGGUUACCUUUCUCACCAUUCAUAUCUCACAUCCCGAAUUUUUUAUUUUGUAAAUAAUAAUCUUUUGUUAAGCCAUAUGGAACUUAACAUUGUUUUGAAAAUCAUGCCUAUGCUGCUUUCUUUUGGAUAAAUAAAAAUAUUAUGCUAUAAAAGAUAUUUAUAACACAGAAAUAUAUGUCCCAUUUUGCAAGCUCUUUGUGAAUUAUUCUCUAAUAAAAUACUUAUUAAAAUUGGAAUUGCUAAAAAGAAAAUUUAAGGUAACCACGAAAUCUCAAGAGUAUUAAAAAUAAUAGCCAUUUAUCAAAUCAGCAAAGCCGUAACAUCAUGUUAAUAGUUGUGCCAAUACGUCUUCCUAAGUCAUUUCAUUAAAGACAUAUUUGCACUCUAAAUAUAAAACUCGAAUAAUUCAGUUUGAAAUUUUAGUUUAUUGCUCUUCAGCAAUAUAUAAAGGUAAUACUAUCGCCCCUAAAAUCACAUUUAGAAUAAAGAUCAUUGCCGUGGUAUUUAGAAAGAAAAAAUGAAGACAGUGUUUCAAUACAUAUUGUCCUUGACUCUUGCAAUUUUAUGCUUUGUGAUAGCCACUGACUCUUUACAUUUUAAUCCAAUAGAUAAA